rnacentral:misc_RNA from 1 species
AUGCAGAGCAGCCAUCAAAGCGUGGCCGUAAGUCUUUAAAAGAAAUUAAUCUUGAUGUUGCGCUGCUUGAUAUUCCUGA